AAAUUGAAGAGUUUGAUCAUGGCUCAGAUUGAACGCUGGCGGCAGGCCUAACACAUGCAAGUCGAACGGUAACAGGAAGAAGCUUGCUUCUUUGCUGACGAGUGGCGGACGGGUGAGUAAUGUCUGGGAAGCUGCCUGAUGGAGGGGGAUAACUACUGGAAACGGUAGCUAAUACCGCAUAAUGUCGCAAGACCAAAGAGGGGGACCUUCGGGCCUCUUGCCAUCGGAUGUGCCCAGAUGGGAUUAGCUUGUUGGUGGGGUAACGGCUCACCAAGGCGACGAUCCCUAGCUGGUCUGAGAGGAUGACCAGCCACACUGGAACUGAGACACGGUCCAGACUCCUACGGGAGGCAGCAGUGGGGAAUAUUGCACAAUGGGCGCAAGCCUGAUGCAGCCAUGCCGCGUGUAUGAAGAAGGCCUUCGGGUUGUAAAGUACUUUCAGCGGGGAGGAAGGGAGUAAAGUUAAUACCUUUGCUCAUUGACGUUACCCGCAGAAGAAGCACCGGCUAACUCCGUGCCAGCAGCCGCGGUAAUACGGAGGGUGCAAGCGUUAAUCGGAAUUACUGGGCGUAAAGCGCACGCAGGCGGUUUGUUAAGUCAGAUGUGAAAUCCCCGGGCUCAACCUGGGAACUGCAUCUGAUACUGGCAAGCUUGAGUCUCGUAGAGGGGGGUAGAAUUCCAGGUGUAGCGGUGAAAUGCGUAGAGAUCUGGAGGAAUACCGGUGGCGAAGGCGGCCCCCUGGACGAAGACUGACGCUCAGGUGCGAAAGCGUGGGGAGCAAACAGGAUUAGAUACCCUGGUAGUCCACGCCGUAAACGAUGUCGACUUGGAGGUUGUGCCCUUGAGGCGUGGCUUCCGGAGCUAACGCGUUAAGUCGACCGCCUGGGGAGUACGGCCGCAAGGUUAAAACUCAAAUGAAUUGACGGGGGCCCGCACAAGCGGUGGAGCAUGUGGUUUAAUUCGAUGCAACGCGAAGAACCUUACCUGGUCUUGACAUCCACGGAAGUUUUCAGAGAUGAGAAUGUGCCUUCGGGAACCGUGAGACAGGUGCUGCAUGGCUGUCGUCAGCUCGUGUUGUGAAAUGUUGGGUUAAGUCCCGCAACGAGCGCAACCCUUAUCCUUUGUUGCCAGCGGUCCGGCCGGGAACUCAAAGGAGACUGCCAGUGAUAAACUGGAGGAAGGUGGGGAUGACGUCAAGUCAUCAUGGCCCUUACGACCAGGGCUACACACGUGCUACAAUGGCGCAUACAAAGAGAAGCGACCUCGCGAGAGCAAGCGGACCUCAUAAAGUGCGUCGUAGUCCGGAUUGGAGUCUGCAACUCGACUCCAUGAAGUCGGAAUCGCUAGUAAUCGUGGAUCAGAAUGCCACGGUGAAUACGUUCCCGGGCCUUGUACACACCGCCCGUCACACCAUGGGAGUGGGUUGCAAAAGAAGUAGGUAGCUUAACCUUCGGGAGGGCGCUUACCACUUUGUGAUUCAUGACUGGGGUGAAGUCGUAACAAGGUAACCGUAGGGGAACCUGCGGUUGGAUCACCUCCUUA
rnacentral:rRNA from 1 species